GCGGCGCUGUUUUUUCACCGGGCUACCCGUGUCGAGACGCCGACACACGACCAACUAUCCCAAACAAGCGCCCGCCGGGCUCCGGCGUGCUGCUUCAGACAGAGUCCAGAGCCUGCCGUCGUUUUCAGCUUUCACCGCUCCCAUCGAUGGAUUCCCGGCGAUCGCACCGUCGCCUGCCUGCGUCUCCUCCCCUGUCACGGCCCGCCCGCCAAUCGCGCGUAUUUUGGCAGCCGCGCCGCGACGCGACGCGACGCCGACCACUGGCUGCCUGCCCCGCGUCGUCUCGGCCCGGUUUUUUUUUCCAUCCAAGUGGGUCGCAGAAUCUACUCGUCCGUCCGCGCACGAUCCCCGCGUCCGUAUUUCCUGUUUUGACCAGGAUUUUGUGCUGAUGCAUCCGUUGUAUGAGUAGUAGGUUCUAUGCGUUGGUGUCGACAGACAAAACUACUGCGAGUUUGGUAAAAGGGAUCUUUC
rnacentral:lncRNA from 7 species